rnacentral:tRNA from 1 species
GGUGAGGUAGCUCAGUCGGCUAGAGCGAGGGUCUCAUAAUCCCUAGGUCGGGAGUUCGAUUCUCCCCCUCACCACCA